AUCUGAGAGAAGUGCCGAUACGAUGCCUAUGCUCAGAGCCUUGCAAUGUAUUUUGACUGGAAAUAUCAUCGCCAAUGAUCUACAGCCAAUGAGAGAGCAAGAUACAGGGCAAGGGAAAUUUCAGGGGGAGGAGUCAUAGCCUUACAUUCCUGUAUCACUUCUCGCGCUUCCAUUUUUUACACAAGACAGAGUGGUCAGAGUGGUCGGACCCCCAGUCUCUGAUCCGUCAUGUAACAUGCAAACGACUGAAAGGAGCAUUAAUCUGAUGACUUUGAAAAUUGUGUAGUGUAGACCCAGCUUAAGUAUAAGCAAUUGUAAUAGUUAUGCUGAUUCGUGUUACUCAUUUCUUUUACAGGACCUGGAGGAGCAGUUGGAGGAUGGGCGUCACCGGGUGGCCGAGGCUGAUGCUGUGGCAAAGAAGGCAGAGGAGGAGUUAGCUGUAGCCAAAGAACGAUUAUUACUGCAAGAGAAUGAGCUACAGAGCAAGUCAGAGGAGUUAAUGAGCCAGAGUUCAUCUCAGGUGAGGUUCUCUGCUGAAGUGGAAGAGCUAAGGUCUCAACUGAGUCGUCUCAACAUUAGAAAUAAAGAGCUGGAGCUUCAGAACAGUGGCCGAUCCAAUGACCACGCUCGCAUGCUUAAACAGCAUGCAGAUACUCUAUCCUCUAUGCGUCUGGAGCUGCAGCGAGCUCACACUGAGGAGAUCAGACGCCUUCAGCAGGAGGUGGAGAACGAAAGAAAGAAUGACAGACAGGAGCUGGAAGAAGAGAAGAAACGGGCUCAGCAGAAGAUGGAAGAAGAGAAAGUAAGACUGAAAGAGCAGCUUCGGAAAGCACUUGAAGAAGUGAUACGCAAACAUGCCAGUGAGCUGCGGCAAGCGCAUGCAAUGCUGGAUGCAGAGAAAAAGACGACGCAGCAGACUGAGGAGCAGAUGAAAACCGGAGAAGAAGAGAGAAAGGCUUUAGAGACAGAGAGGGAAAAGCUACUCAACCAACUACAGCUGUCCAACAGAGAGAUGGCGAAAUUGGAGGGGGUGAUUCAGACGCUGGAGAGAGAAAAAGAAGAGGAGAAGGAAAGGGCAAAAGAGAGAGAGCAGGAGUAUGCAAAGGUGGAGCGGCAGUCAGCAUGGAAGCAGGAGAUCCAAAAGACAAGAGAUAUGAACAGCACGCUCAGAUCUCAGCUUCAUUCCACCAUUCAAGAGAAAGAGAGACUGAUGAGGCAGCAGUUACAAGUGCGUAUAUACUAGGGCUGUUGGGAA
rnacentral:lncRNA from 1 species